AGUGAACGCUGGCGGUAGGCCUAACACAUGCAAGUCGAACGGCAGCACAGUAAGAGCUUGCUCUUGCGGGUGGCGAGUGGCGGACGGGUGAGGAAUACAUCGGAAUCUACUUUUUCGUGGGGGAUAACGUAGGGAAACUUACGCUAAUACCGCAUACGACCUACGGGUGAAAGCAGGGGAUCUUCGGACCUUGCGCGAUUGAAUGAGCCGAUGUCGGAUUAGCUAGUUGGCGGGGUAAAGGCCCACCAAGGCGACGAUCCGUAGCUGGUCUGAGAGGAUGAUCAGCCACACUGGAACUGAGACACGGUCCAGACUCCUACGGGAGGCAGCAGUGGGGAAUAUUGGACAAUGGGCGCAAGCCUGAUCCAGCCAUACCGCGUGGGUGAAGAAGGCCUUCGGGUUGUAAAGCCCUUUUGUUGGGAAAGAAAAGCAGCAGGUUAAUACCCCGCUGUUCUGACGGUACCCAAAGAAUAGGCACCGGCUAACUUCGUG
rnacentral:rRNA from 1 species